rnacentral:rRNA from 1 species
AUUGAACGCUGGCGGCAUGCCUUACACAUGCAAGUCGAACGGCAGCACGGGUGCUUGCACCUGGUGGCGAGUGGCGAACGGGUGAGUAAUACAUCGGAACAUGUCCUGUAGUGGGGGAUAGCCCGGCGAAAGCCGGAUUAAUACCGCAUACGAUCUACGGAUGAAAGCGGGGGACCUUCGGGCCUCGCGCUAUAGGGUUGGCCGAUGGCUGAUUAGCUAGUUGGGGGGGUAAAGGCCUACCAAGGCGACGAUCAGUAGCUGGUCUGAGAGGACGACAAGCCACAUGGGAACUGAGAAACGCCCCAACCCCCCAGGGGGGGAGGAGGUGGGAAUUUUGGGCAAAGGGGCGAAAGCCUGAUCCGGAAAUGCCCGGUGGGGAAAAAGGGCCUUCGGGUUGAAAAGCACUUUUGUCCGGAAAAAAAUCCUUGGCCCAAAAACGGUCGGGGAAUGACGGAACCGGAAAAAAAAGCCCCGGCAAACUACGG